rnacentral:rRNA from 1 species
AGCGAACGCUGGCGGCAGGCCUAACACAUGCAAGUCGAACGAACUCUUCGGAGUUAGUGGCGGACGGGUGAGUAACACGUUGGAACGUGCCUUUUGGUUCGGAAUAACUCAGGGAAACUUGUGCUAAUACCGAAUGUGCCCUUCGGGGGAAAGAUUUAUCGCCAUUAGAGCGGCCCGCGUCUGAUUAGCUAGUUGUUGAGGUAACGGCUCACCAAGGCGACGAUCAGUAGCUGGUCUGAGAGGAUGACCAGCCACACUGGGACUGAGACACGGCCCAGACUCCUACGGGAAGCAGCAGUGGGGAAUCUUGCGCAAUGGGCGAAAGCCUGACGCAGCCAUGCCGCGUGAAUGAUGAAGGUCUUAGGAUUGUAAAAUUCUUUCACCGGGGACGAUAAUGACGGUACCCGGAGAAGAAGCCCCGGCUAACUUCGUG